UAGCGGAGGAAAAGAAACCAAACAGGCGUAUUGCCCUAGUAACGGCGAGUGAAGCGGCAACAGCUCAAAUUUGAAAGCUGGCCUUCGGGUCCGCAUUGUAAUUUGUAGAGGAUGCUUUGGGUAAAACGCCAGUCUAAGUUCCUUGGAACAGGACGUCAUAGAGGGUGAGAAUCCCGUAUGUGACUGGAAAUGUUAACCUAUGUAAAGCUCCUUCGACGAGUCGAGUUGUUUGGGAAUGCAGCUCUAAAUGGGAGGUAAAUUUCUUCUAAAGCUAAAUAUUGGCGAGAGACCGAUAGCGCACAAGUAGAGUGAUCGAAAGAUGAAAAGCACUUUGGAAAGAGAGUUAAAAAGCACGUGAAAUUGUUGAAAGGGAAGCGCUUGCAAUCAGACUUGUUUAAACUGUUCGGCCGGUCUUCUGACCGGUUUACUCAGUUUGGACAGGCCAGCAUCAGUUUCGGCGGCCGGAUAAAGGCUCUGGGAAUGUGGCCUCCACUUCGGUGGAGGUGUUAUAGCCCAGUGUGUAAUACGGCCAGCCGGGACUGAGGUCCGCGCUUCGGCUAGGAUGCUGGCGUAAGUCGUGUUGUAAGCGACCCGUCUUGA
rnacentral:rRNA from 1 species